CCUACGGGAGGCAGCAGUGAGGAAUAUUGGUCAAUGGCCGUAAGGCUGAACCAGCCAAGUCGCGUGAAGGAAGAAGGAUCUAUGGUUUGUAAACUUCUUUUAUAGGGGAAUAAAGGUAUCCACGUGUGGAUAUUUGCAUGUACCCUAUGAAUAAGCAUCGGCUAACUCCGUGCCAGCAGCCGCGGUAUUACGGAGGAUGCGAGCGUUAUCCGGUUUUAUUGGGUUUAAAGGGUGCGUAGGGGGACUGUUAAGUCAGGGGUAAAGGCCCGGGGCACAAGCCCGGCGAGCCGUUGAAACUGGCUGGCUGGAAAUGGCAAGAGGUAUGCGGAAUGCGCGGUGUAGCGGUGAAAUGCUUAGAUAUUGCGCAGAACUCCGAUUGCGAAGGCAGCAUACCGGCGGCGGUCUGACGCUGAGGCACGAAAGCGUGGGUAUCGAACAGGAUUAGAUACCCUAGUAGUC
rnacentral:rRNA from 1 species